rnacentral:rRNA from 1 species
CCCUGGCUCAGGACGAACGCUGGCGGCGUGCCUAAUACAUGCAAGUCGAGCGAAUCUUUGGGAGCUUGCUCCCGAAGGUUAGCGGCGGACGGGUGAGUAACACGUGGGCAACCUGCCUAUAAGACUGGGAUAACUUCGGGAAACCGGAGCUAAUACCGGAUAAUCCUUUUCCUCUCAUGAGGGAAAGCUGAAAGACGGUCUCGGCUGUCACUUAUAGAUGGGCCCGCGGCGCAUUAGCUAGUUGGUGAGGUAACGGCUCACCAAGGCGACGAUGCGUAGCCGACCUGAGAGGGUGAUCGGCCACACUGGGACUGAGACACGGCCCAGACUCCUACGGGAGGCAGCAGUAGGGAAUCUUCCGCAAUGGACGAAAGUCUGACGGAGCAACGCCGCGUGAACGAUGAAGGCUUUCGGGUCGUAAAGUUCUGUUGUUAGGGAAGAACAAGUAUCGGAGUAACUGCCGGUACCUUGACGGUACCUAACCAGAAAGCCACGGCUAA